rnacentral:rRNA from 1 species
UGGCUCCGUUCCGGGGUCCGAGUUGUAAUUUGGAGAGGAUGCUUCGGGCGCGGCACCGGUCUAAGUCCCUUGGAACAGGGCGUCAUAGAGGGUGAGGAUCCCGUAUGUGACCGGUGACCAAGUCCAUGUGAAGCUCCUUCGACGAGUCGAGUUGUUUGGGAAUGCAGCUCAAAAUGGGUGGUAAAUUUCAUCUAAAGCUAAAUACCGGCCAGAGACCGAUAGCGCACAAGUAGAGUGAUCGAAAGAUGAAAAGCACUUUGGAAAGAGAGUCAAAAAGUACGUGAAAUUGUUGAAAGGGAAGCGCUUGUAACCAGACCUGCCGUCGGGUGCUCAGCGGGCACUUGUGCCCGCCUAUUCACCCGCGAUCAGGCCAGCAUCGGUUUUGGCGGCCGGAUAAAGACUCGAGGAAUGUAGCUUCGCUUCGGGGAAGUGUUAUAGCCUCGGGUGCAAUACGGCCAGCCGGGACCGAGGACCGCGCUUCGGCUAGGAUGCUGGCGUAAUGGUUGCAAGCGACCCGUCUUGAAACACGGACCAAGGAGUCUAACAUCUAUGCGAGUGUUUGGGUGUCAAACCCAUGCGCGGAAUGAAAGUGAACGGAGGUGGGAACCCUCAAGGGCGCACCAUCGACCGAUCCGGAAGUUUACGGAUGGAUUUGAGUAUGAGCAUAGCUGUUGGGACCCGAAAGAUGGUGAACUAUGCCUGAAUAGGGUGAAGCCAGAGGAAACUCUGGUGGAGGCUCGCAGCGGUUCUGACGUGCAAAUCGAUCGUCAAAUUUGGGUAUAGGGGCGAAGUAAGCAUCCCUGGUCCCUUAUUGUCUGGUGGAACAACUGCUAACAUAUCAACAGAGACUAAUCGAACCAUCAAUUCGCUACUAGGUGGUUAAGCGGAAGGGGUUGGUAAUACCCCCCAUUUUUAGCCCUCCGGGGCAACAAUGCUAAUUGCAUGGAUUCCUCCCGGGAGGGAGCUUGACAUGCAGCAGCCUAUAAGACGAUAUUCCGAUAUCGCUGGCUGUCCACAGACCAAAUAGCGUUGGCCAGGUAUCCCUGGUUUUGAUAUGGUCGAGUCUUGCCUGUCAUAGGGUUUGGCCCUUGAACCGUUCCUGUGGGGUUCUUACUGGUGCAUUAAGAGUGGGCCAUAGCUUUUUGUUUCCUGUGGGACCUUUUACAGGGCGUGGGGGCYUCAAGUACAAACGCUAGUAGCUGGUUCCUGCCGAAGUUUCGUAAGUUCUUCCCGAGGAGCCCCCCAAUAUCAGCCUAUACUAACAAUUUCAAUAGCCUCAGGAUAGCAGUAACGUUUUCAGUUUUAUGAGGUAAAGCGAAUGAUUAGAAACCUUGGGGAUGAAACAUCCUUAAUUUAUUCUCAAACUUUAAAUAUGUAAGAAGUCCUUGUUACUUAGUUGAACGUGGACAUUUGAAUGCACCGUUACUAGUGGGCCAUUUUUGGUAAGCAGAACUGGCGAUGCGGGAUGAACCGAACGUGGGGUUAAGGUGCCGGAAUGUACGCUCAUCAGACACCAGGGGGGAAGACUUGUGGUGUCGGGCUGGGGGGAGACCCCCCCAGCGUCAGUCUGCUCAAGGCGAGGUCUUUGACCUGUUAGGGGUCGGUGGUCGCUCCGCGAUGGCCUACCCUCCGCUGUCCCCCGCCGCGGGGGCAGCUCACAGAUCAAGCAAAGGCCGGCGGCAGGAUGCCGUUGGAGAUAUGAUCGGCCCCCGGAGG